rnacentral:rRNA from 1 species
UACAGAGGGUGCAAGCGUUAAUCGGAAUUACUGGGCGUAAAGCGUGCGUAGUCGGCUUUUUAAGUCGGGUGUGAAAUCCCCGGGCUCAACCUGGGAAUUGCACUUGUGACUGCACAGCUGGAGUACGGCAGAGGGGGAUGGAAUUCCGCGUGUAGCAGUGAAAUGCGUAGAUAUGCGGAGGAACACCGAUGGCGAAGGCAGUCCCCUGGGCCUGUACUGACGCUCAUGCACGAAAGCGUGGGGAGCAAACAGG